GAUGAACGCUGGCGGCGUGCCUAAUACAUGCAAGUCGAGCGAACAGAUAAGGAUCUUGCUCCUUUUACGUUAGCGGCGGACGGGUGAGUAACACGUGGAUAACCUACCUAUAAGACUGGGAUAACUUCGGGAAACCGGAGCUAAUACCGGAUCACAUAUUGAACCGCAUGGUUCAAUAGUGAAAGGCGGCUUUGCUGUCACUUAUAGAUGGAUCCGCGCCGUAUUAGCUAGUUGGUAAGGUAACGGCUUACCAAGGCAACGAUACGUAGCCGACCUGAGAGGGUGAUCGGCCACACUGGAACUGAGACACGGUCCAGACUCCUACGGGAGGCAGCAGUAGGGAAUAUUCCGCAAUGGGCGAAAGCCUGACGGAGCAACGCCGCGUGAGUGAUGAAGGUCUUCGGAUCGUAAAACUCUGUUAGCAGGGAAGAACAAAUGUGUAAGUAACUGUGCACAUCUUGACGGUACCUGAUCAGAAAGCCACGGCUAACUACGUG
rnacentral:rRNA from 1 species